GUCUGUGCGGGGGCAGAACAUACAAAUUACUUAGGCUGCCGUGUGAAGAUCUGCGAAAGAGAACCAGCCCAGCAGCUGUCCCUCGCUGUCGAAGGCACCUGCGCUGAUAUUAUGCUGUAUGAGAUUUCUUAUCAACAACAAAGAGUCAUUCGAGCAAUAAGGCCAGUGGGCAUCCACUGCGGCAGCAUGUUUUAUGUGCAAGGAACCCAAUUUGAUGUCUGAAAUUGGGCUAAUCAAAAAUGUCAACAAACAAGAAUUCUUAUAAGCAGUAUUUACUUACCCCA